GAUGAACGCUGGCGGCGUGCCUAAUACAUGCAAGUCGAACGAACAGAUGAGGCGCUUGCUCCUCUGACGUUAGCCGCAGGCGUGAGAAACACACGUGUAUCACCUCCCUAUCAUACUGAGAUCACUUCGGGACACCGGCUCUUACCGCAUAUGAUCUCUUGCUCCAUGUUGUGCGUUAGAGAAAUACGGUUUUUCUGUCUCUUCUCGCUGCUUCCGGGCUGCAUUAGCUAGUUGGUACGGUAACGGCUUAUCAAGGGUACGAGGCGUAGCCGACCUGAGAGGGUGAUCGGCCACACUGGAGCUGGGACACGGUCCAGACUCCUACGGGAGGCAGCAGUAGGGAAUCGUCCGCAAUGGUCGAAAGCCUGACGGAGCAACGCCGAGUGAGUGAUGAAGGUCUUCGGAUCGUAAAACUCUGUUAUUAGGGAAGAACAAAUUUGUAAGUAACUAUGCACGUCUUGACGGUACCUAAUCAGAAAGCCACGGCUAACUACGUG
rnacentral:rRNA from 1 species